AACGUAGGGGGCAAGCGUUGCCCGGAUUCACUGGGCGUAAAGCGGGUGUAGGCGGUCCUCUAAGUCGGAUGUGAAAUCCUGCGGCUCAACCGCGGAACUGCAUCCGAUACUGGAGGACUUGAGGACGGUAGAGGUCGGUGGAAUCCCCGGUGUACCGGUGAAAUGGGCAGAUAUCGGGGGGAACACCAGUGGCGAAGGCGGCGACCUGGGCCAAUACUGACGCUGAGGUGCGAAAGCGUGGGGAGCAAACAGG
rnacentral:rRNA from 1 species